rnacentral:rRNA from 1 species
CCUACGGGAGGCUGCAGUGAGGAAUAUUGGUCAAUGGGCGCGAGCCUGAACCAGCCAAGUCGCGUGAGGGAGGACGGCCCUACGGGUUGUAAACCUCUUUUGCCGGGGAGCAACGUGCGCCACGUGUGGCGUCACGGAUAGUACCCGGAGACAAAGCAUCGGCUAACUCCGUGCCAGCAGCCGCGGUAAUACGGAGGAUGGGAGCGUUAUCUGGAUUUAUUGGGUUAACAGGGUGCGUAGGCGGAUCGUUAGGUAAGUGGUCAAAUUGCGGGGCUCAACCCCGGCCUGCCAUUGAAACUGGCGGUCUUGAGUGGGAGAGAAGUAUGCGGAAUGCGUGGUGUAGCGGUGAAAUGCAUAGAUAUCAGGAGGAACACCGGUGGCGAAGGCGGCCUGCUGGACUGCAACUGACGUUGAGGCCCGAAAGCGUGGGGAGCAAACAGGAUUAGAUACCCCAGUAGUC